GGCGCCGUGUAUAGUGUUGGCUGGCCGUCAUUCUGUGUUAUCUGUGCUUUUAUUUGUAUGUUUUAUUAGCCCGAACUAUUCUCUUUGGACUUAUGACUGCAAAGCUUUGCUUGACAUUCGCGCAGUGAUGGCAGAUCUCACACGGGGUGGAAAAUGUCCAAAUGGGGUGGAAACUCGGACUAAUAAUCGCCGGCGAAAGCGUGGUAGCCGGGCAGGAACCGCAGUGAAAGCUAAAGCUGCGGCGGUGCUUAAAAAACACCAGUUAGUUCAACGACGCAGGGUUGCGAAGCUCGGAGUAAAUCGUAGCAAUCUGAGUUAUAUCGAAUCGGCUGUGGUCUCGAGUGGGACUUCAUCGCUCCCGUUGGAGUCUGAUCAAGAGCUGCGUAAUGUUAUUGACAAAGUGGCCCAGUUUAUCGACCCAAGUGGACCCGAGUUUGGGGAAUAUUUCAACUACAACAAAUACAAACUGGCCAUCGAACAGCAGCAGGUCGCUGAUGUUCCUGCGCCGAUGACGAUGCUCCCGCCGACCACGCUGUCUGUGGAGGAGCUGAUCCAGCAGAGCCAGUGGAACCUGCAGCAGCAGGAGCAGCACCUGCUCAGCCUCAGACAGGAGCAAGUGACGGCCGCCAUCUCUCUGGCGAUGGAGCAGCAGAUGCAGAAGCUGCUGGUGGAGACGCAGCUGGACAUGAACGAGUUCGACAACAUGCUGCAGCCCAUAAUAGACACCUGCACCAAAGACGCCAUAUCGGUUGGAAAGAACUGGAUGUUCAAUAACGCUAAGACCCCGGGGCACUGCAAGCUGAUGGCGUCGCAUCUCAGGAACCGCAUUACUGCAGACGGGGUGCAUUUUGAGCUUCGCCUACAUCUUAUCUAUCUGACCAAUUACAUCCUGCAUCACUGUCAGAGGGAAAAUCAGAGGGAUCUUUUGGCGGCUCUGCAGAAGGUUGUGGUUCCCAUUUACUGCACCAGUUUCCUGGCUGUAGAGGAAGACAAGCAGCAGAAAAUCACCCGCCUGCUGCUGCUCUGGGAGAAGAACGGCUACUUUGACGACGUCACGAUUCAGCAGCUUCAGAGUCCGGCUCUGGGUCUCGGACAGUAUCAGGCGUUGCUCAUCAUGGAGUACGCGCCAGUGGUGCAGCCGGUCCAGAUGGCCUUCCAGCAACAGAUCCAGGCGCUGAAGACGCAGCACGAGGAGUUCGUGAGCAAUCUGAAGCAGCGGCAGACAGCAGCGGUAGCAGCAGCCACGGCCGCCGUCGGUCAAGGUUGGCCCUUGACCUCUCAUCCAGACUCGAACCCGGCAGCUUCGUCUGACAUGACCUCCUCUAAACAGGGCUGGUUCGAUCCGCAGCACAACAUGCCGUCGUGGAACUCGCAACAACCUCCGCCUUUCGACCCGACUCAAGCCCCGCCCCCCUGCCCGCCCUGGAACAGCCACGAGGGCAUGUGGAAGGAGCAGCGGGACCCCAACUGGAGCGGCCCUCGGGACAGGGGCCCCACAGGCCCCUGGAGCAGCCAGAAUGAGCCGCCACCGUCCUGGAGCGGUCAGUUCGACCAGCCGCCGUGGAGCAGCCAGCCAGAUCAGCCGCCGCCGUGGGGCCAGAGGGAGCCUCCCUUCCACAAGCAGAGUCCGCCGCAUUUCCGCGGGCCCUUCCCUCCUCAUCAGCAGCCGCCGCCGUUCAACCAGUCGCCGCCACACAACAUUGAACGCUUCCCGCCGCGCUUCAUGCAGGACGAGUUUCCUCCGCGGCAUCACUUCGAACGGCCGGCGGAUCCGCUGCACCAAAUCGACUACCCGCAGGGAGACUUCCCUGGAGAGAUCGGUCCGCCUCCUCAUCACCACCCAAACCAGAGGAUUUCUCCUCCUGGGGUGUCUGUUCCUCCUCCGUCGGACGGGAACCAGCAUCCGGAUUUCAGCCCGCCUCCUCACGACUUUAACGGUCAGGCGCCACAAAUACGAGAGCAGACCCCGUCUCACGUCAGUCAGGACGACUCCAGCCUGGUGCCCAACGUGCCCUACUUCGACCUUCCUGCCGGACUCAUGGCGCCGCUUGUGAAGCUUGAAGAUCGUGAAUAUAAGUGUCUGGACCCCAUGAGAAUCCGUCUGCUGCCCCCAAAGCCUCCCAGUGACCAUCUGCUGGCCGCGGUGGAGACGUUUUACAGCUCGCCGUCCCACGACAGACCCAGAAACAGUGAGGGUUGGGAACAGAAUGGUCUGUAUGAGUUCUUCCAGGCCAAAAUGAGAGCGAGGCGGAAAAGGAAACAGGACAAACGAAACAGGUUUUUUUUGCCAGCACCCGAGGGAGUCCCUCGCGCAGUCCGUCGCACAGCAGAGGACGAUCCCAGUCAUUCUCCAGCUCCAGGUCUUCCAAAUCCUCUCACUCCAGAUCCAGAUCCCGCUCUCGUUCUCGCUCCUAUUCCAGAUCUCGCUCCAGGAACAGGAGUCACUCCAGACCCAGGUCCCGAAGUCACUCCCGCUCCAGAUCUCGCUCCAGAUCACAAUCUCCAGACAAGCGUCGUCACGCUGCAAAAUCACGCAGUCCAACGCCACCCUCCACAUCUGGUUUGGGUUCAGGCCCUGCUGCAUUACCAGCCGAACUCAGGCUGGGCGAAGAAAACAAGGGCCAUCAGAUGCUCAUGAAGAUGGGCUGGAGCGGAUCAGGAGGUCUUGGUGCUAAAGAACAGGGCAUUCAAGACCCCAUCAAAGGAGUGGAGUGGGAGAAAGGAGUGGGAGUCCCACUGGAUGAGAAAAAGUAAGCAGAGACCCACAGGAUCCUUCCAGCACAGAGUGAUCACCCAUCACACGUGGUCUGCAUUUUUACUGUAGAUGUCAUAAUGCUGUUUUUCACAUUUGUUUGGACCUGUUAUCCCUGGGUUUAUUUUUGUAGUAAAAUGGAUUCAAGCAUCAUAUUGUAACUCACAGAGGUGUCAGUGUCAUCACAAGUGUUUCCUUUGAUUGAUUAAUCUGAGAGACUGUACAAGCAAAAUAAAGAUGUUUUAAAAAGG